rnacentral:lncRNA from 1 species
UGGGGUCCUAGCGCCUGAUACUGAGACGGGCGUAGGAGGUGGGCGGAGCGGAACUGCGUUCUCUCGUGACGCGCGGUAGAGUUGGGGAAAUGAUCUGUGGUUCCCCUUCGGGUUGGGAGAUCCCGAGCCUGAGGCGAGCGUGGGCGGCACACACCUUCCCUUCCACUUUCAUCACCCCAGGGGUCAGGGAUCCGUCAAGGGCCAACGGAUGUUUCCUCCUUCCUCUGUAGCAGUCCCAGAGUCCUGACAUUGCCUAGCCAGAGUUUCUCGAGUCUGCCAGAGCAGCCGCUCCUCUAUCCAGGGCACUCAGAUUCCCAAGGAAACCCCCCUGAGGAGUUAGCAACCACCUACUAGUAGGUUUCGGUCCCAGGAUACUAAAGGUGGAGGAAACAUUGUGCUUUUCUACUUUCUUGCAAAAUACUGAGACACCUAGUGGGCACAACAUGAAAACGUCUUUAUGGAAAACGAUCUGGCAAAAAUACAGCAGAUUUGCAGAAACAGGCUGUUCACUUCCCACCCUGGUGCUGUCACUGCAGAUUGCUUCAGAGCUGCUGUCUCCUGGGCUUGGACAACGUGUCAGCAUCCGUCUUUGUCAUCACAAUCCCGGUGUUGCCCUGGGUGCUGGGUGCCUUGCAGAGCCAGCAGGCCAGCCCCAGGCAUGCCCUCUGGGUAUUUUGGCAGAAGACUGA